rnacentral:lncRNA from 1 species
AACCACCGCUUCAUGAAGUGGUGGCCAAAUCUCUGAAGACCUCCAACUGAGAUGAGGAAACUAAGGCAAAUAAGGUUAAGUGAUCCUUAACACAAGCUAGUAAGAGUCCGUGGCUGAACUCAUGCAGAUAAGUUUUCCUGAUUCCCACCCCGGGACUCUGUGGGUUGUGUGGCCCAACUGCCUAAGACAGCACUUAGGAACUCAUCUAUCCCGUUGGACCUUACAGAUGAAGGAAGUAAAUGAAAGUGGUCAUACAGUUUUCAGUAAAGGAUGUGAUCAUUUGGACUGAUCCUGAGUGAAGUGAGCAGAACCAGGAGAACAUUGGACUCUGUAAUAAGAAGAUUAUGUGAUGAUCAACUGAGAUCGGCUUGUCUCUUCUCAGCAGCACAUUGAUCCAAGGCAACUCCAAUAGACUUGGUAUGGAAAAUGUCACCUGUAUUUGGAGAAAGAACUAUAGAGACUAAUUACGAAUAGAAGCAAAUUAUUUUCAUCCUUUUUGGUUGACUUUUUCUUUCUUAUAUUUUUUCCCUUUGUUCUGAAUUUUCUUUAACAAAAUGACUACUAUGGAAAUACGUUUAAAAUGGUUGCUCAUGUAUAAGCUAUAUCAGAUUGUUUCCUGUCUUGGGGACAGGAGAGGUCCUGUGUUAUGUGUAUUCUCCAAGACUGAUCAUAAUCAUUCUUUCAGACAAUGCAAUGGAUACAGAUAAGAGGGUCAAUACGAACCAAAGCAAUAGAUAAUUCUCUUAUAUUGACAAAAUGAUUAUUGUUGACAUUGAAAAAGUAUGAUUUUUAGAUCAGACCUGUUUUUUUCAGUGCAAUGUCUAUUACAUGUUAGGAUGCAAUAGAGAAAUUGUGUCUUUAAGAGAUGUGUCUCCAGCUGGUGAAGGGCUGAUUUCUCUCAUAAAUUAGCACAAAUCUUAAUUGAAUUAUUCAUCACAGAUUAAAAGUUAAAGCACUUGUUUUCAUGCUAAUUAUCUACAGUUAAGAUCAAACUAUAUAAACACGGGAAGAACUAGUGAUUUUAUCAGCACUGGCAGCUUUUUGUGAGAAAUCCUUGCACUAGUGUGGAUCACCUGCAGUACAGAUAAGCCAGAGAGAGAUUAUGAGUAGCAGUCUUUAAACCAAGAUCUUUGUUACUCCACGUUUCAUAUUCUAUCUACCCUACCACACUAUACAAAUCACAUUAAAUUUGUAGUUUUUAUAUCAGUGAAUGCUGAAAACAUUUUUAUUACCAAAUGAUUGCUUCUAAUGGAAAUUCAAAUUAUGAUUUCAAUUUGUCUCUAGGAGAUCCCCUCCCCACAAUUAAACGUGUUUAUAGGUAAUCAGACUACAAUGUUAAGCUGGGCCAAUGUAAUGGAACAGUAGAUAAAGUGCCUGACUUCAACACUUAAUCUCAGACAAUUAGUAGCUGAGUAAAUUUAGGCAUUUAGCCCCUGUAUGCCUCAGUUACCUCACCUGUAAAAUGGAGGUAAUAAUACCAUUUACUUCCCAAGGUUGUUGUCAAUCUAAAAUAGAAUAUUUGUACAGGACUUUGGAAACCUUAAAGUGCUAUACAAAUAUUAGUUACUGUUGUAAUUCUUCUUAUGUUAAAUGUAAGUUACUGAUCACAUGGCCAUAACAAAUACAUAUUAUAAUUAUUAUUGUAUAUUGUACUGAUAUUAUAAUAAUUACUGCACAUAUUUUGUUCAGUUGUUCAGGUGUGUCCAACUCUUUGUAAACCCAUAGACUA